AAUAGUGAAACCCGGUCAUGUGACGAGGACUCACUGGCUCCGUGUGUUUGCAUACGUGUCCUUCCUCUCUGCUCACACGCCUUAAGAGAGCUGAUCAGUGGCGGUCCAGGCCUCACGCACACUGGCACGCCGGCAGCACAAUGAUGAUGUCACUGAGUCUACUGCUGACCAGCCUGGGGCUCCUUGUUCAGGGUUCAUCAGGAGAAAUCCAGCUGACUCAGUCUCCUGGAUCUCAGUCUGUUCUUCCAGGACAGACUGUCUCCAUCAGGUGUAAUGCCAGUUCUGGCAUUAGUACCUACCUUCACUGGUACCUACAGAAACCAGAAGAAUCUCCCAAACUUUUGAUUUAUCGUGCCUCAAGUCGUCAGUCAGGGAUCUCAGAUCGUUUCAGUGGAAGUGGAUCUGGAAGUGACUUCACUCUGACCAUCAGAGGAGUUCUGACUGAAGAUGCAGGAGAUUAUUAUUGUCAGCAG